rnacentral:lncRNA from 1 species
GGAAGUACUUUUCGCAUAGGCAAACGCGCCUUCUGUAAAAACCUUAUCUAGAACAAACACGACUGUGAUGCAAGAAUAGUGUGGAGAUGUGGUUAGACAAAAUAAUCCACUGCUCAGAAGCGUCUGUUUUGGAUUACUCCUGUGAUUUGUCUAUGAGGGUUUUUUUUUUUUAUUUAUUAAUACUGUUUUUCUCUUGUAAAAAUGCCAUGCCAGACACUCAGAUGCAAAAGUAAAUAUAUAACGUAGUAAGAGAAACUCAGUCUUUUCUGGGCCCCCAAGAACUUAGUUUUUCAAGAUAGUCAUCCUUAUCUUAAGUAACCCCGAGGUGGAGGUGCAGACUUAGGAGAAAAUGAUCCUGGUAUUCUCUUCCAUAGUGACAGCUGAAAACGAAAUGUAAGGGCUAUCAAGAAAACAGACAAUCCAAUACAUUUUCCAUUGUCAUACAAGGAGUUUUUGUUUCUCCUACAACAGUUUUGUGGCUUACCUCUGCUGUUGGUACACAUCUCUCUCUUCUCUCUCUGUCUCUCUCUGUCUCUCUGUCUCUCUGUCUCUGUCUCUCUCUCUCCAUAUAUAUGUGUGUGUAUAUAUAUGAUAUAUAUGUAUAUAUAUAUGUGUGUGUGUGUGUGUAUGUGGGGUGUGUGUGUGUGUGUCCGUCCAUCCAUCCAUAUAUGUCUACGGAUGGAUGAAUGGAUUCCAAUUCUAAAGGGCUCCCUCAGAUGGCUGGAGACUGUUCCCCAGAGGAGUCACUGGAAACGA